CCUUAUAAUGAGAGAGUAGUGGCCAAUAGAUAUCCGUCACAACAUCUAUAAAAGGAAGAUGAAGACCAUCCAAACCGCAACUUCAUCAUCUAACUAAUUACUCUCUCUCUCUUUUAAAAUAAGAAUCCAUGCGUUCACAUUAUAUGGAUAUGUCUAACUCUCUUUGCAUAAAUGAAAAUGAUUGCUCUCAGAGCAACAAAGAAGGCCAAGAAGAAGAAGAAGGUGGUGCUAAUAAUCUUGAUGAUGAUGAUGAUGAUAUGGGAAACAAAUCUAGAAACAACCAGCUGCAGGUACUAUUUAAUCUUUACUUUCAUAGUUGAGAAGCUAACGAAGCAUAUAUAACUCAAAGAGCAACUCGUUAAUAUUCUUUCUUUCUUGUUACUUUAUAUAAUUCGAUGCAACUCUCUGAACAUACACUUAGCUAGGCCGCGUUGGUAAAAAGCCAUGUCUAUCAUGAAAUAACAGUUAUAAUUAGGAAAUAAAUAUUGAUAAGUUUUUGUAAAUUUUUUAUCAAACCAACUGUAAGCAAGAUCAAACCACUCUUAACUUCUAAUUCGUGGUAAAAAUAAGUAUGGCUUUUAAACUACAGUUCUCCAACAACAGUACCCAACGGAGCUUUAGGCCUCAUCAAUCCUCUUCUCUUCCUUUCACAAUCGCAUACUAAUUCAUUUUUUUUUUUUAAUUUGAAGUAAAUAUUAAAUAUUACGUUGGUAUUCUAAUUAAUAAAUGUAUAAUUUUCUUUUUUCAGGCAAUAGGUGUUGGAAUUUAGUCCUGAAUGGAACACUCAUUUGAGCAAGAUAAACAAAGUAACUUGAGUGUAUAAAGAACAAGUUUCUCAUAAAAUUUUAGAACCUCGACCUCGGACCUUCGUUACUUUCUUAAUAAGUUGUCUUUACUUUUCUAUAUACACAAUUUUAUUAAACCUUACUUUAUUUAAAAGAAUUUUUUACAUGCCAUACAAUAAAUGCAAACUAAGUAAAUAUUAUAUGCGAUCUCAUACCCUUCACAAGCCUUGUAAAAUUGAAUGAAUGUAAAAGCAAUGUAAGCGAGAAAGAAAGGAGUUGUAUUGAUCACUGAAUUAAUGGUGCUUGCAGAAUUGAUUGAACGAUUGUUGUCUUUAACCGUUUGUAACGACUAGACUUGUAUCAGAUUAAUUUUUAAUUAAUAGUUUAUUACGAUUUACAAAUUGACAACCAUACCAUUAAUUGUGUUUGUUUGCUCUUUUUUCUUAAUUUAUCCUUUAGAAUCUCAACAGGUGCAUGCGUGCUCGACAAAUUAAUGCGCUCAUAAUCAUCAUCCCACUCAUCUAGCUAGGGCACAUUUAUAACUCAAUUACUUCUUAUUUUAAAAUUAUAUAAUGGCUAAUAAAAUUGGUUCAAAUAAUUCAACUCGUGUUAAAACUUUGUCAUGUACAACAUGCACGAGGAAAAAUAAUUAAUAAUAAUAAUAAAUUAGGUAUAAAGGUAUAUAGGUAAUUUUGUAACGUUUGUAAAAUCGGGAAUAAGACUCCGUUUGGUAUAAUUUUUUAAGUAUAAUCCAUUUAAAUAAAAUUUUUGACAGUAGAAUUUUUACAAAUAGAGAUUUUACUUUAAAAAAUUUAGUUGUUUGGUUGUCAAUAAGAUUUUUUAUUAAAAAUUUAUGAAAUUACUUUAAUAAAUAAGUUUUUUUAAGUUAUGUUAUGAAAAAAAUAAAAUAAGUUUGUCAAAUAAGUAGAGAAUAUUUUGGAUAUUUUAACAUUUUUAAAAAGCAUUCCAACUUCCACUCUCAAAAGUUUAAAAUUUGAGUUUUUGCUAGUAAAGGUAAAAUAGUUUAUUUAAAUUAUAAAAACUCUACUAAAAAAAAAUCAAAUAACAAUAAAAAUUAUAAUAAGAGCUUAUGAGAUUAAAUAAGCAUUUAUAACUAUUAGAUAAGGCAUACCAAACAAGCACUAAAUGUCUUAUUACAACUUGCCAAUUUUACAAGCAGUGUAUUGACACAAUUGUUGCUAAAGUAAAUGUAUAAAAAGUUGUUGAUUUUUUUGUAAGUUUUAUGUUCAAUUUAUUUUUUUAAAUUAUUAAAAUUUCUAACAAAGAAAGGUUAAGGAUGUAAUGAUAGGUUUUAUAUUGAUUUCUCUAUUAACAAUAUUUGGAGGGUAAAAACUUGUUUAGUCCCUAUAUUUUGAGGUCAGUGUCCGUUUAGUCCCUAUAUUUUUAAAAAUACUUCAAAAAAUCCAUACUAAUAAAUUAUUGACACCCUUGCCAUUACCUUUUGUUCCUUUUGACUUAUUUUUAUAAUAUUACCCUAUUACAAUAAUGUUUCUUUUUUUAGACAUUAUUAAAAAGAAAAAUUAAAUUACCAGUUUAACACCAAAAAAUAAAAUAAAGAUAAUAUAUAUAUAUAUAUAUAUAUAUAUAUAUUUUGUAGAACACUCUGCUGAGGAGUUAAAAUAUUAAAUUUUAUAAAAAAAGUGAUAAUUUUAUUUUUUACAAAAUUAAUUUUUUUGACACAUAAGUUUCCACAAAAAUUAAUGUAUAUUUUUUUGUUUUUUAUUUUAUUUUUGGGUUUAAUUUGAUAAUCCAAUUUUUUUAUUAACAUCCAAAAAAGAAAUAUUACUGUAAGAAUGUAAUAUUGUAAAAGCAUGCUAAAAAGAAUAAAAAAUAAUGGCACAAGUGUUAAUAUUUAACAGUAAGAAUGUUUUGAGGUAUUCUUAAAAAUAUAGGGAUUAAAUGAGCAUUAACUUUAUAAUAUAAGGACUAAACAAGUUUUUAUCCAUAUUUGGAUGAUAUAAAAAAUAAAUGAGUUAUGUAUCCACCAAUAAGAUAGAAGUCUCUUGCAAAAAUCUAUAUUAAAUGAGCUAAAAUUUCACUAGUUUUUAUAUUAUAUUAUAUCUCAGAAAUCAUAAGCUUGUUGCAUUUAAGGAAUCAUUUAUUUACUUGACAAUUUCCUUAAGUUUUGAUUACUUUAAAAAAUUUCAGAAUUCUAUCUUGAUACGAAUUUUAAAAUUUCAGUCCAAUUUCCUUACGUUUUGAGUUGGCUGCCGAGUGACAAUUGAAAUGAUAAUUCCUGAAAAAAUGAAUGAGAUAUUGAUUUAUGAAUUGUCACAUUCAAGUAAUGAAUAGACGGUCGGCCAUGAAACGUCAACGUGAAUAAAAAAUGGGCUCAUUAUAUUUCGUUAUCAAUAAGGUACAUCAAUUUAAAAUUUAUAUUUUUAAAUGACUUAAUUACUAUUUGUCAAAUAAUAAGUAGAUCAUAAAAAAAAUAUUUUUUAGGUCAGUCUUAACUUAUAAUUAAUGUAACAAACUUACUAGCUGCCUGAACAAAAAUCCUAUAAGCUUAUACACUUAUGAAUUCCCUCGUCCUCGUACCAUUAGGUGUCGGCAAACAUUUACUUAGGUGGUUGCUUGAUGAUAUUAAAUAUUUGAGAAAAUUAAUACAUAAAGCAAACAAUAAUCUGAACAAGAUUGAGCGAAGGUGGACUCUCUUUGAUCUGAAGAUACAUCAUCUAUAAAUUUAAAUUGGUAAUAUUUCACCUUUCACUAGCCCUCAUUUUUCAAUUAAUCUUAAUUAAUUAUUUUCAAAAUUAUUCUUAUUUAUCACUUUGUUUUAAACAGCUUUUAUUAAGAAAAGAAACCCAGUUAAAUCAUAACAUAAUUCAAAAGUUUGUCUGCAGAUUUCCUCAAUCAAAUACAAAACAAAUUCACCCACUUAUGAUGGAAUAUCCAGAGACUAUUUGAAUCAUAUCCAGAUACAGACAUUCAAAGAACCAUCGCAUAAAUUUUAACAACUAAAAUCCCGCCCUUAUAAAAUGGAAAUUGAUAGCGGCAGACCAACUAAAAAAGAACCCACCAUACAGAAAAUACAAGUGAUCUACAGUCACUAAAGCAAGCGACCACACAAUCACAACCCAGAUAGGAGGAGGAAAGCUUUAGGCAGGCGACUACUGAGAAGAACCAGAGCACGUGCAACAAUUGGCCUCACAACUUCAUUGAAAAAGUCAAGUGCCCACAUAGAAAGCCUUGUUGAAUUCUACAAACAACAAUAUUUUUAUCUUUAAUUAUUUAUAUAUUCUUUAAUGGGGAUAUUUCUAGAAAUAUGUGAGGUUAAUUAAAAAGUAGAGAUUAGUGAGAUAAAUUGAGAAGUUCAAAU
rnacentral:lncRNA from 1 species